UGGCGGCAGGCCUAACACAUGCAAGUCGAACGGUAGCACAGAGAGCUUGCUCUCGGGUGACGAGUGGCGGACGGGUGAGUAAUGUCUGGGAAACUGCCUGAUGGAGGGGGAUAACUACUGGAAACGGUAGCUAAUACCGCAUAACGUCGCAAGACCAAAGUGGGGGACCUUCGGGCCUCAUGCCAUCAGAUGUGCCCAGAUGGGAUUAGCUUGUUGGUGAGGUAACGGCUCACCAAGGCGACGAUCCCUAGCUGGUCUGAGAGGAUGACCAGCCACACUGGAACUGAGACACGGUCCAGACUCCUACGGGAGGCAGCAGUGGGGAAUAUUGCACAAUGGGCGCAAGCCUGAUGCAGCCAUGCCGCGUGUAUGAAGAAGGCCUUCGGGUUGUAAAGUACUUUCAGCGAGGAGGAAGGGGGAAUGGUUAAUAACCAUUUUCAUUGACGUUACUCGCAGAAGAAGCACCGGCUAACUCCGUGCCAGCAGCCGCGGUAAUACGGAGGGUGCAAGCGUUAAUCGGAAUUACUGGGCGUAAAGCGCACGCAGGCGGUCUGUCAAGUCGGAUGUGAAAUCCCCGGGCUCAACCUGGGAACUGCAUUCGAAACUGGCAGGCUAGAGUCUUGUAGAGGGGGGUAGAAUUCCAGGUGUAGC
rnacentral:rRNA from 1 species